rnacentral:misc_RNA from 1 species
AAAAGGAACACAUUUUUUACUGGCCUUUGAUUUUUGGCAACUAUCAAAAGAAUCAAAAUAAUAUUAAACCAAAGUAAUCUGUUUUGGACAAUAAUGUUAUAGAAUUUAAGGCCUGUGGAACCUUUUACUUUCUCCACAGCCCAUAAUAGAAGUAGGCAAUUUGCCAACUUUCUCAAUUCCUUCUUCAAAUACAACUCCCAUUCCCAUGAAGAAAUGUGACUCAAUAUGGCAA